UGCAAGUCGAACGGAGAUUCAGCAAUGGAUCUUAGUGGCGAACGGGUGAGUAACGCGUAGGCAAUCUGCCUUCUAGAUGGGGACAACAUCCCGAAAGGGGUGCUAAUACCGAAUGUUGUACCGUUUCCGCAUGGAGAUGAUACUAAAGGUGGCCUCUGAAUAUGCUACCGCUAGAAGAUGAGCCUGCGUCUGAUUAGCUAGUUGGAGGGGUAACGGCCCACCAAGGCUUCGAUCAGUAGCCGGUCUGAGAGGAUGAACGGCCACACUGGGACUGAGACACGGCCCAGACUCCUACGGGAGGCAGCAGUGGGGAAUCUUCCGCAAUGGACGAAAGUCUGACGGAGCAACGCCGCGUGAGUGAAGAAGGUUUUCGGAUCGUAAAGCUCUUUCGUUAGGGACGAACGUGCUCUUUGUGAAUAAUGAGGAGUAAUGACGGUACCUAAAUAAGAAGCCACGGCUAACUACGUGCCAGCAGCCGCGGUAAUACGUAGGUGGCAAGCGUUGUCCGGAAUUAUUGGGCGUAAAGCGCGCGCAGGCGGGAUAUCAAGUCUGUCUU
rnacentral:rRNA from 1 species